UAAUAAUAAUAAUAAUAAUAAUCAAAACAAUCAGAGUUAAUCUAAACAAGAUGCAAAUUCUAAAAGCAAAAGCAGGUGAACAGAAAGCAAUGAGGCCCAUAAAAUCGACAAAAUUUUCAUGAAGUAUAGCAUAAAAGAAGGCAACCAUAUGCAUACAACACUUUCUUUUUUACUAAGUGAAAAAGAAAAUUAAUCAGGCAUAAAAUCUAGUGAAACCAACACCAGCAGCAAAUAACCAGGCAUUAAAAAUCAUAUCUUGUACACCGGUCAUUAUGAUUACUAUAGAUCAAUAUGGUAAUAACAGUAGAGAUGCUCCUAGGCAUAUGCUUAAUAUCAGCUUUGCAGACAGGUGCUUUCCAUCUAAUUACACAUAUCACUAAGCAUGUAAUAAAAUUUCAAAUAGACAAGAAGUUGAAGGCCAGGUGUAGCAGUAGCUCCAACUUAUGCACUGACAGUUUGAAACUCAAGGAAUGUUCAUCUGUUGUCUACAAUAGCAUAACCACCAUAAUAAGCAUGUAGGUAAAUUGAUAAAUGCCAUGGUUAAAAAUUUAAUAGAGGUCAAGAGGUUCUCAUAAUGCAUAAAAAACUUUAAGGUUUAAUGUCAAGCGUGAGUAAAAGAUUUGAGUGUAUCAA
rnacentral:misc_RNA from 1 species